AUUUUUAAAUCGAUUUUUAUAUAUUUUGCUAAAAUUUUUUUGAGUGAUUUUAAAAAUAUAUUAUUAAAUAAAAAAUAAAAUUUUGUUUGUGGGAAUAGACAAUUAAUUUCUAAACUAGCGAUUGAAGUAUAUUUUAGUGUACGUACGGGCCAUAGAAAUGCUAAAAACGUUAUGCAAUUGUUUGAUACUUUGUAAGCAUCAAUUAAAAUUGCAUGAAAACGUUAUGAUCUGCUUCAAGACAAGUAUAUAUAUUCUGCAUUUCUCAGAAUUAUUGAGCAAAGUACACAUAAAAUUGUCCAUGAUCGGCGAACAUUGUGAGACAUUGUGUUUUGUGCGAUUGUGUUUGGAGCCUCCAAUUUCAGCCAUAUACCUUCACUUACCCAAAUGGGUAUGCCUUGUUUCCUAGAAAGCCAAAACGGGAUGGGUAAGCAAAAAUGGUUUUUCUCAUAUUCGCUCUCCAUCUAAAUUAUUUCAUUUUCAUUUUCACCAUUUCUUGAUUCAAAAUAAUAGUAAUACCCUUUUGAGAACAAACCCUAUAAGAACCAUUGAUGAUAUAUAUUAAAAGAAAAGAUGAGGAAAAU
rnacentral:misc_RNA from 1 species